rnacentral:rRNA from 1 species
CCUACGGGGGGCAGCAGUGGGGAAUAUUGGACAAUGGGGGGAACCCUGAUCCAGCCAUGCCGCGUGUGUGAAGAAGGCCCUCGGGUUGUAAAGCACUUUCAGUGAGGAAGAACGCCUGGUGGUUAAUACCCAUCAGGAAAGACAUCACUCACAGAAGAAGCACCGGCUAACUCCGUGCCAGCAGCCGCGGUAAUACGGAGGGUGCGAGCGUUAAUCGGAAUUACUGGGCGUAAAGCGCGCGUAGGUGGCUUGAUAAGCCGGUUGUGAAAGCCCCGGGCUCAACCUGGGAACGGCAUCCGGAACUGUCAAGCUAGAGUGCAGGAGAGGAAGGUAGAAUUCCAGGUGUAGCGGUGAAAUGCGUAGAGAUCGGGAGGAAUACCAGUGGCGAAGGCGGCCGUCUGGACUGACACUGACACUGAGGUGCGAAAGCGUGGGUAGCAAACAGGAUUAGAUACCCCAGUAGUC